AUUGAACGCUGGCGGCAGGCCUAACACAUGCAAGUCGAGCGGAUGACGGGAGCUUGCUCCUUGAUUCAGCGGCGGACGGGUGAGUAAUGCCUAGGAAUCUGCCUGGUAGUGGGGGACAACGUUUCGAAAGGAACGCUAAUACCGCAUACGUCCUACGGGAGAAAGCAGGGGACCUUCGGGCCUUGCGCUAUCAGAUGAGCCUAGGUCGGAUUAGCUUGUUGGUGAGGUAAUGGCUCACCAAGGCGACGAUCCGUAACUGGUCUGAGAGGAUGAUCAGUCACACUGGAACCGAGACACGGUCCAGACUCCUACGGGAGGCAGCAGUGGGGAAUAUUGGACAAUGGGCGAAAGCCUGAUCCAGCCAUGCCGCGUGUGUGAAGAAGGUCUUCGGAUUGUAAAGCACUUUAAGUUGGGAGGAAGGGUUGUAGAUUAAUACUCUGCAAUUUUGACGUUACCGACAGAAUAAGCACCGGCUAACUCUGUG
rnacentral:rRNA from 1 species